rnacentral:misc_RNA from 1 species
UCAAACUUGGUCAUUUAGAGGAAGUAAAAGUCGUAACAAGGUCUCCGUUGGUGAACCAGCGGAGGGAUCAUUAUAGUGGUUUAACAAACCCCUAAAACCUUUGUGAAUCUACCUAUUUAGUUGCUUCGGCAGGCGGCUCCAGGGCGGAGUUGUAGCCUGAUUUUCAGGCGCCUGCCGAAGUUAUUUUUCUACUCUUAUAUUGUAUUGAUUGUCUGAGUUUUAAAAUAAUGAGUUAAAAACUUUCAGCAACGGAUCUCUUGGUUCUGGCAUCGAUGAAGAACGCAGC